rnacentral:lncRNA from 1 species
UGGGGGGGCGCGGCAGGGGGAACAUCUCUCCAAAGAGAGGAACAGCAGCGAGCUGCAGAGAUUUCUAGAGGCAUAGUUUUGAGAGGUGCCCAGAGGACAGUCUGGAGUGUCCCAACCUUCUUCAGCAGUGUUGGGCAAAUGAAAGUGGGGUUUGUAAGUAUGGAUGAAGGGCUGAGUAAUCCCUG